rnacentral:rRNA from 1 species
ACACGACUACAUUAGAUACCCCUGUAGUCCUAGCCGUAAACUAUGCUCGCUAGGUGUCAGGGACGGUGCGACCGUUUCUGGUGCCGCAGGGAAGCCGUGAAGCGAGCCACCUGGGAAGUACGGCCGCAAGGCUGAAACUUAAAGGAAUUGGCGGGGGAGCACAACAACGGGUGGAGCUUGCGGUUUAAUUGGAUUCAACGCCGGAAAUCUUACCGGGACCGACAGCAACAUGAAGGCCAAGCUGAAGACUUUGCCGGAUUAGCUG